rnacentral:rRNA from 1 species
UACGUAGGGGGCAAGCGUUGUCCGGAUUUAUUGGGCGUAAAGAGCGUGUAGGCGGCCAUGUAGGUCCGUUGUGAAAACUCGAGGCUCAACCUCGAGACGCCGAUGGAAACCAUGUGGCUAGAGUCCGGAAGAGGAGAGUGGAAUUCCUGGUGUAGCGGUGAAAUGCGCAGAUAUCAGGAGGAACACCGGUGGCGAAGGCGGGUCUCUGGGCCGAUAUUGACGCUGAGGAGCGAAAGCGUGGGGAGCGAACAGG